UACGAAGGGGGCUAGCGUUGCUCGGAAUCACUGGGCGUAAAGGGUGCGUAGGCGGGUCUUUAAGUCAGGGGUGAAAUCCUGGAGCUCAACUCCAGAACUGCCUUUGAUACUGAGGAUCUUGAGUUCGGGAGAGGUGAGUGGAAACUGCGAGUGUAGAGGUGAAAAUUCGUAGAUAUUCGCAAGAACACCAGUGGCGAAGGCGGCUCACUGGCCCGAUACUGACGCUGAGGCACGAAAGCGUGGGAGCAAACAGGAUUAAGAAACCCGG
rnacentral:rRNA from 1 species